AAAGGGAGACCUAAUUCGGGUAUAAGACGAAAAAAUAGUAGUCGAAACCAAGAAUCAAUCCCAAAAGGUCGGAACGAGGUAUGUGGCUUUCAAACUAGGUUCUGGGUUCAAACAAGACCUGAAUCAGGAACAAGGGCUAUUAGCUCAGGUGGUUAGAGCGCACCCCUGAUAAGGGUGAGGUCCCUGGUUCGAGUCCAGGAUGGCCCACCUGCACAGGUGGCAAAAACAAGAGAAGCGAGGAAUCAGCACCUUAUCUUACUGACAUAGUAAGAGAGAAUGCUGGCUCUGAGUAAAGAGUCCAGAGGAACCUUGAAAACUGCAUAGAGCUAGGUGAAAAAGCCAAAAAAGAAGACCGCAAG
rnacentral:tRNA from 1 species